rnacentral:rRNA from 1 species
AUUGAACGCUGGCGGCAUGCCUUACACAUGCAAGUCGAACGGUAACGCGGGGCAACCUGGCGACGAGUGGCGAACGGGUGAGUAAUACAUCGGAACGUGCCCAGUAGUGGGGGAUAGCCCGGCGAAAGCCGGAUUAAUACCGCAUACGACCUACGGGUGAAAGCGGGGGAUCGCAAGACCUCGCGCUAUUGGAGCGGCCGAUGUCAGAUUAGGUAGUUGGUGGGGUAAAGGCCUACCAAGCCGACGAUCUGUAGCUGGUCUGAGAGGACGACCAGCCACACUGGGACUGAGACACGGCCCAGACUCCUACGGGAGGCAGCAGUGGGGAAUUUUGGACAAUGGGCGCAAGCCUGAUCCAGCCAUGCCGCGUGCGGGAAGAAGGCCU